rnacentral:tmRNA from 1 species
CUGCUUGUAUGGUCUAAUUGCUCUUUGAGCUAUGGACAUAAACGCGCUCGUAAUAAGCGGAUCGGACCUCGGGGCGGUACCGAGCGGCUCCACCAUUAUUUACCAAUACGGUCAUAUGGGGUCGAAAUAGGAUAGACGAACGUGUAAAGGGGAAGGCUUUGUCUCGGCGGGAUGCCACCGUUAUCGGCGCAAAAAGUACAAUUGCAAAUGACAAUCGUGCUCCAGUAGCAAUGGCUGCUUAAGCAGUCGGAGAUACUGAACUUUAAUCCCUAGUGACUAGCAUCACUAGGUGGGGUUAGAGCGGUUCCUCGCAACAGAAUACC